GAUAAACGCUGGCGGCGUGCCUAAUGCAUGCAAGUCGAACGGAGUGGCAAACGGGUGAGUAACACGUGGGAAUCUGCCUCUUUGUGGGGAACAACUCCGAGAAAUCGGAGCUAAUACCGCAUACAGAGAGAGGAGCCUGCGGCUGAUUAGCUAGUUGGUGGGGUAAAAGCCUACCAAGGCUGUGACCAGUAGCUGGUCUGAGAGGACAAACAGCCACACUGGGACUGCGAUACGGCCCAGACUCCUACGGGAGGCAGCAGCAAGGAAUUUUCGGAAUGGGGGGAACCCUGACCGAGCAACGCCGCGUGGAGGACGAAGUCUUUCGGGAUGUAAACUCCUUUUCGAUGGGAAGCGGUACCAUCGGAAUAAGCUCCGGCUAACUACGUGCCAGCAGCCGCGGUAAUACGUAGGGAGCGAGCGUUGUCCGGAAUUACUGGGCGUAAAGGGCGAGUAGGCGGCUGUUCGUGUAGGGUGUGAAAGGUCCCGGCUUAACCGGGGAAGGUCAUUCUAAACUGGACAGCUAGAGUGCAAGAGAGGCUAACAGAAUUCCCGGUGUAGUGGUGAAAUGCGUAGAUAUCGGGAGGAAUACCAGUGGCGAAGGCGGUUAGCUGGCUUGUAACUGACGCUGAGGCGCGAAGGCUAGGGUAGCAAACAGGAUUAGAUACCCUGGUAGUCCUAGCAGUAAACGAUGGAUACUAGGUGUGCGGGCGUGCCAAAGCAAACGCAAUAAGUAUCCCGCCUGGGGAGUACGGUCGCAGAUUAAAACUCAAAGGAAUUGACGGGGCCCGCACAAGCAGCGGAGCGUGUGGUUUAAUUCGACGCAACGCGCAGAACCUUACCAGGGUUUGACAUGCAGGUGCUGCAUGGCUGUCGUCAGCUCGUGUCGUGAGAUGUUGGGUUAAGUCCCGCAACGAGCGCAACCCCUAUAGUCAGUUGAUCUGGCGAGACUGCCGGAGGAACCGGAGGAAGGUGGGGAUGACGUCAAGUCAGCAUGGCCCUUACGUCCUGGGCUACACACACGCUACAAUGGCCGGUACAGAGUGAAGCGAAGUCGCGAGGCGGAGCAGAUCAAGAAAGCCGGUCUCAGUUCGGAUUGUAGGCUGCAACUCGCCUGCAUGAAGUUGGAGUUGCUAGUAACCGUGGGUCAGACACUACGGUGAAUACGUACCCGGG
rnacentral:rRNA from 1 species